GCCCAUUGUAGUCAAUGAGUGUCUUUCCAUUGACCUCAAUGGGCUUUGGAUGAGGCCUAUUGUGACAGUAUACCCCAUAAGGCUUUAUGGGGAGGGGGUGCUUAUAAAUGUAUGGAUGACAUAGCUCGAAUAUGUUUCGUGCUACACUUGCAAGAGAGAAAACUCUCUCUCCAAGACGGGGGGGGGGGGAAAUCUCUUCAUGGGAGGAACUUCACAAGGGAGGGGGGCCCAGCCCAGAGAAACUCCAGAGGGAGGGGCCGAGGACAAGUAUGGUUGUAGUACACCCAGUCCUGGCCAAAGACCCAAGCACAUGCCCGAACUAGAAGUCUUCCCCAAAGAGGCAGAGGAAUCUGCAUCAGAGGGUCUACCAGAGGGCACAGAGAACUGGGAAAAUGCAAUAGAUGCUAAACAAGUCAAAUUGAGUGAACGAAGCCUGUCCACUGUAGAUUUGCUGUUGACCUUGUGUCUUUUGCUAAUUCACCUAUGGGUUAAAACAAAAGAAUUCACACUAGUGGUAAACCCUUUAAAGAUGUGGAACAUAUCUGAUUUGUGGAAUAAGCUGUUAUACAUGCUGGGGAUGGUGACAGGACAGCCCCACCAGCAUGUUACUUUACAGCCCAUACCUGUAAAAAGCAGCAAAAGCAUAACAGGCCUAUGCUGCUGUGUAGAAGGGGAAACUGAGGCACACCACCUCAUGGCAUUGAUGGCUAAAUGCCAAGAUACCUCCACGUUAACGAGUAUUGCUGCCUGCAUUCUGUUAGCAAUACUACAUCCCUACCUGUUUGCAAGCAUCUGGGGACCAGGAACCCCAAAACGGGCUAGAACCCCCAGGAGUGACGACAUAUGGUUUCAAGGUACUGAAAGGAAGUGUGACCAGAAACAAACAGAAAUUUUACAGGUACUGCCUCCGCCAUGGACAGUGUCCAAGUCUCUGGCAGUAAGUUCAGGGGGAGGGUGUGACAGUGUACCCCAUAAGACUUUAUGGGGAGGGGGUGCUUAUAAAUGUAUGGAUGACAUAGCUCGAAUAUGUUUUGUGCUGCCUGUGCCAUGUAACAUAUCUCCGUAAAGGUUAUGGUCUACUAUAUCUAUUCAUCCAAUUUGUACAUAUUAUCAUUUCCUCCCGAAGUUAAGGAUUUUGGGUGUAUUCUUGCCUGAUUUCUAAGUAAGCUUUGUGAGGCAUUUGGUCAGCUUCUUUAGGAAGGAAUUUGCCAGGUUAAGUCCCUGAUCAGGAGCCACUUAGGGAACAAUGCAG
rnacentral:lncRNA from 1 species